rnacentral:rRNA from 1 species
AUUGAACGCUGGCGGCAGGCCUAACACAUGCAAGUCGAGCGGAUGAAGGGAGCUUGCUCCUGGAUUCAGCGGCGGACGGGUGAGUAAUGCCUAGGAAUCUGCCUGGUAGUGGGGGAUAACGUCUGGAAACGGGCGCUAAUACCGCAUACGUCCUGAGGGAGAAAGUGGGGGAUCUUCGGACCUCACGCUAUCAGAUGAGCCUAGGUCGGAUUAGCUAGUUGGUGGGGUAAAGGCCUACCAAGGCGACGAUCCGUAACUGGUCUGAGAGGAUGAUCAGUCACACUGGAACUGAGACACGGUCCAGACUCCUACGGGAGGCAGCAGUGGGGAAUAUUGGACAAUGGGCGAAAGCCUGAUCCAGCCAUGCCGCGUGUGUGAAGAAGGUCUUCGGAUUGUAAAGCACUUUAAGUUGGGAGGAAGGGCAGUAAGUUAAUACCUUGCUGUUUUGACGUUACCAACAGAAUAAGCACCGGCUAACUUUGUG